AAAAAAAAAAAAAAAAAAAAAAAAAAAAAAAUAUAUAUAUAUAUAUAUAUACAUGUAUUUGGCGGAAUGUUUAGUUAUUUUUAAAAACUACUUUA
rnacentral:ribozyme from 16 species